CAAACGGUCUAAACAAUGAACGACGAGUCUUUGAAGAUAUCGAUCUCGAAAAUGCCUGUCAUUAUAUUUUUUAAAAAACAGUCCUGGUUGCUGACAAGUGUUUGGAUUACAUUUCAUUCAUCUUCGCAAAGCAACGUUGAUCGGUAGAGACAGCUGCAAACUUUCAAUGAGAAAUUUGCAGUGUUUACCCCAACAAGAUCCCACAACGAAACCUACUUAUCAAAAAAUAAAUGUCUAAACAGUUUGAAUGGCUGUCAAUGUUGAAAGUGUUGAUGAUUCCGACACAAAAACACGUUCACUCAAAUGUCUCGCAAAACAAAGUGCGAAUGCGCCCCCGAGGAAUGGAGAUUAAUUCAAACCGUCUUCCUCAUUAGGAAGAAAAGUCAAUUACUGGAACUUGUCUUGUAUCUUUUAGGGCACAAAAUAGAUUGUAAGGUGCCACACGACAUGACGGGUAGUCGGGGUUGCUUAAUGUGACCUGUGUUAAAUAAGUUGAUAAUGUUUAAUUUGUGUCAGAUAAACAUGAUCAGUAUAGAAAAUGGCAGUUUGUAAGUGUUUUACUAGGUUCCGAUGAAUUUGAAUAAUCACAUUUGUACACUCUUAAAAAAAAGGUGCUUCAAAAUAACCUUUUGGUUUCAUAAAGAACCUUAAACAUCUGAGGAACCUUUCUGUUUCACAAAAGGUUCUUUGUGCUGAAAAAAGGUUCUUUAGGUUAUAAAAAGGUAAGAAAGAGAUGGUUCUUUAAAGAACCUUGGACUGAAUGGUUCUUUGUUGAACCAAAAAUGGUUCUUCUAUGGCAUCACUGUGAAGAACCUUUUAAGCACAUUUAUUGUUAAGAGUGUAUGUGUUAAUAUGAUUUUCCUCACAAAAAUUAACCAUGUUUUUGUGGUACAAGUGUAGUAACCAUUGUUUUACAGAAACCUUUACAUUUACAUUUAGUCAUUUAGCAGAUGCUUUUAUCCAAAGCGACUUACAGAUGAGGGAAACAAUGGAAGCAAUUGGAACAACAUGAGGACAACAAAAAGCAUAGGUGCAUAUAGCCUACCACAGUAUACAGGCCAGGAGCAGAGUCUUGAAUUUGAUUCGAGCGACUAUAGGGAGCCAAUGUAACUUAAUGAAGAGAGGAGUGAUGUGCGCUCUCUUUGGUUCAUUGAAGACCACUCUUGCCGCCGCAUUCUGGAUCAUCUGUAGAGGUUUGGUUGUGCAAGCUGGAAGUCCAGCCAGUAGCGCAUUGCAGUAGUCCAGUCUUGACAGAACAAGAGCCUGGACUAGGACUUGCGUAGCAUGCUCGGAUAGGAAAGGUCUGAUUUUCCUAAUAUUGUAGAGGAUGAAUCUACAGUACCUGGUGGUGCUGGCAACAUGAUCUGUGAAGUUAAGCUAAUCGUCAAUCACCAUUCCCAGGUUUCUGGCCGUGGCUUUUUUUGUCGGAUAACGGACUUAACAAUUUUUUUAUUUGAUCUUUUGCUUAUACAACAAUUGUAUUCUUUGAAAAGUAAAUUUCACUUAAAUAACCAACAAUUUUGACAUUUAAUACUUUAACAAAAAAGCUUGUCCAGUUUUAAACAAUAAAACUUCUUUAAAUAUCCCAAAUAUAAGUAACAAUCAAGUUGUAGCCCAUUAGAGAGUUGAGGAAAUGUUCCCAUUGAAUAAUAAACUUAUUUUGAUAUUCAAUGUUAGACAUUUAGAUUAUUCCCUUUCCUUCAACAAAAAGUAUUUAUUAAUAUCAGAAUAAGACUUAUCACAUGACAUACUCGCGUUGUAUAACACAUUUUCCCACUAAGGCCUACUUUAAAACGAAUGCUUAGUUUGUAGUUCAUAAAUAUUUAAUAUAAACACAACAAUAAAAUGUACAUUUACUGAAACUUUAUAAUUAAUAUUUUAUCGAAACAUAAAUAAGACGGAUAACAUACAUUUUAACACAAAUAAUGGAUUUUCCCCUUACUAUAAAACAUUUCUAGUUUGUGGUUCAUAUUUUGAAAACACAACAUCAUUUAAAGUAAAACAAAGACAAACUCACUUACAUUGAACGAAGAAUUUUUUUAUUUUUAUUAACAAACGUUCUUUUGCGCUCUUGUCGCCAUCAUCCUGUCAAUUAUUGCACUUUUUCACUGUCCACACGCAAUCUCUCCUGUGCUCUGUGGUGCGCGCUGUAUGGAGAAGCUCUCGACAGCUCAAACUGUCGAAUAGAAAGCUGUGGAUAUCUCUCUUGAUGCUGUAACAGCUGAUUCUUCCCAGAUUCACACAACUUUAGAGACUUUUGGAAGCUCAGCACAUUGUGUUAAUUGGAGCCACUGUCCAAUUUAGUGUGGAGGUGGAAUAUAACUCCACAGACUGUCAGUGCUGUAGAGAGCCUACAUUAGCAGCAUUUCUCACUUCAUCGCAAGUCUUUUCACGUGUUGUAAAACAUAUUUUAACCUCACCUUUUUGUAUCGGGUUGUCUGUGUGCUAUUUUUGCAAGCAUUUGCAAGCAUUUUUUGUAAACAUUACCUCCUGUCCAUGACACGUACAUGUUGAACCCAAGUAUGUCUCCAAACGUUUCAUAGACACUACACAGUGCGAAUUCCGACAUUUUGACUGCAGCCAUUAAUCCAGAUUUAUUACGCUGUUGCUUUUCCAUCACUUUCCUUAUGCGAGAUUCAUUUUAGCACACCUACGUGUCUACCCUGUCAUAUUAUCUCUAUCUACCUCUUUUCCUUAGGUAUUUGUCAUCUUAAGACCUAUUCAGAUGGGACUAGUUUUCCCUGAAGAGGUUAAGUAAACGUGUAUUUUGCAGACAUACUCUAUGACUUUAAUCCUGUGUGAAUCAAACACACCUUUGCUCUGCCUCACACAAUCUUGGUAAACUCACAACUAGGGAUGUCCAGAUCCGAUCACGUGAUCGGAAAUCGGGCCCGAUCACGUGGUUUCAGACUCGAUCGGAAUCGGACGUUACCUCCCGAUCAGGACUCGGAUAUAUAUGUAUAUAUAUUCUCAUUAUUUUUUAACACAUCUAUAGUUAUGCGGUGGCACAGAGUUAGACCUCUUGACUCCACACAGAAACAGCAACGCGUACGGCAUGACAUCACUUUGUUUCAGAGACGCUAUUGGUUAAAUGCCGGCAAAGUAGAUCACGGAAGUAGCUUGAAGCGGAAAGCGUGAUUAUGUCUGCUGUCUGGAGGUAUUAUAAAGUUGAUGACAACAACAUUGCCAUAGCAAACUGUGAGAUAUGUAAACUUGGGAUUGCAAGAGGUGGAAAGGAAAAGGCUACAUUUAACACAACUAAUCUGAUACGGCACCUCAAAAACAAACACCCGACACAAUACAGCGAGUUUACCCAGGCAACCCAGCCUAAGACGAGUCAGCUCACGCUGCAGGAGAGUUUGAAGAGGAGAGAAAAAAUGCCCCGUGACAGCGCGAAGGUGCAGGACAUCACAGCCAAGAUAGCACAAAUGAUCGCAAUAAGUGACCUGCCAUUUGCCUUUGUAGAGAACCCUGGAUUUCUUAUGCUUAUGGAGCACGUAGAACCUCGAUUUGAAAUGCCGUCUCGCCACUAUUUCACUGAGAAAGCUCUGCCAGCCCUUUAUAAGAAGAUUUCUGACAAACUACUUGUCCUGUUAUCAGAUGUACCCCAUGUUGCGUUCACCACAGACAUCUGGAGUUCGUCUGUAGCUCCCAUGUCUCUACUAAGCCUUACCGCACAAUGGAUUGACUCAAGUUUUGUUUUACGCCGUGCGACCCUACAUGUCCAGGAAUUUCUCGGAUCGCACACCGCAGAGUGCAUCCAGCAAUCGAUGGAAAAGAUGCUAAACAACUGGGGAAUUGACAAGCAACGGGUCCACGUAAUUUUGCCCAACGGCGAUAUCAAGCGCCGUUGGCCUACUCUCGACUAGAAGACAUACAGAUGGACCUAAAUAUGGUUAUCAAGCGCCUACAGCAAGAUGUACAGACACGAUGGAACAGCAGCCUCUACAUGCUGCAGAGCCUACUGCAACAAAAACGUGCUCUUAGUGUCUUUGCAGCUGAGCGCACUCUACCAGCAACACUGACAGCUCACCAGUGGGAGCUGAUGAAUAAGACUGCUGAUGUGCUAUCCCCCUUUGAAGAGCUGACCAGGGAUGUGAGCAGGGACACUGCAACUGCAGCUGAUGUGAUCCCUGCCAUAACAGUCCUCUGACGUGUUCUGUCUCGGGAGGAAGAUGAUGACCAGGGAAUAAAAACAAUGAAGAGGACUCUGCUGGAGGCAGUGGAGAAGCGCUUUGCUGAUGUUGAAACUGAGCCACUCUUCUACAUCGCCACUCUUCUAGAUCCCAGAUACAAAGAU